CUGUUCCUAGACCGUCAUUGAAAAUAAGAAUUUGUUCUUAACUGACUUGCCUAGUAAAAUAAAUUUUAAAAAGGACGUUGAGGUGUGAUUAUGUGGGAGUGGGUCAGUAGUAAACAUGUUUAAGGACAGUGAGGUGGGUCAGUAGUAAACAUGUUUAAGGACAGUGAGGUGUGAUUAUGUGGGGGUGGGUCAGUAGUAAACAUGUUUAAGGACAGUGAGGUGUGAUUAUGUGGGGUGGGUCAGUAGUAAACAUGUUUAAGGACAGUGAGGUGUGAUUAUGUGGGGGUGGGUCAGUAGUAAACAUGUUUAAGGACAGUGAGGUGUGAUUAUGUGGGGGUGGGUCGGUAGUAAACAUAUAUA
ensembl:lncRNA